rnacentral:rRNA from 1 species
GAUGAACGCUGGCGGCGUGCCUAAUACAUGCAAGUCGAGCGAACGGACGAGAAGCUUGCUUCUCAGAUGUUAGCGCCGGACGGGUGAUUAACACGUGGAUAACCUACUUAUAAGACUGGGAUACUUUCGGGAAACCGGAGCUAAUACCGGAAAAUAUUUUGAACCGCAUGGUUCAAAAGUGAAAGACGGUUUUGCUGUCACUUAUAGAUGGAUCCGCGCUGCAUUAGCUAGUUGGUAAGGUAACGGCUUACCAAGGCAACGAUGCAUAGCCGACCUGAGAGGGUGAUCGGCCACACUGGAACUGAGACACGGUCCAGACUCCUACGGGAGGCAGCAGUAGGGAAUCUUCCGCAAUGGACGAAAGCCCGACGGAGCAACGCCGCGUGAGUGAUGAAGGUCUUCGGAUCGUAAAACUCUGUUAUUAGGGAAGAACAUAUGUGUAAGUAACUGUGCACAUCUUGACGGUACCUAAUCAGAAAGCCACGGCUAACUACGUG